rnacentral:lncRNA from 1 species
CAUGUGCAGAUGCAGUUAGCAACUCAACCAGCCAGUCACACUUCAUGUCUUUGUGGAACACUUGCACUAUUGGCAGCUGGUUUUGAGUUUAUUUUAAGUGUUCAAAAAUGUGCUUUUGAUACCUAGUUUUGUAAUUUGUAUAAAUCAUAAUUUAUAAUAAAGUUAAAUUUCCAGUUAUUAUAUUUAGGAAUGGUUGGAAUCUUCACUGUUUUACACAUUCUUUUGCCGACUUGUAGAUUAAUGUUGGAAAACCAGAAUUACUGAUGUGCUUGCUCCAAGUUGGUGAGAUGAGCACUGAUAUAACUACCGAUGAUAUCAAUAGUCUUCUGCUUUGCUUUGGACCUCCGACAUUGGGCAUCAUUUGUGCUAAGCUGGCUCUCACUACUGCUGCUUUGGCAUUAAUUUGUUCGACCUGCUGCUUGAAGUUGAGCCAGGCAUCAAGCAUCACUGCCAGAUAUUGGAUAAAUGGUUGCAAUGUAAUUUCUUGAUCCUCGACAUUCAGCCUAAUGGACUCUACUUUUUUUCUGCUGGUGAUGAGCACCACCUCAGUCUUGUGCUUGGCUAGUUCCAAGUUCACCGUAUUCAUCCACAAGUUAAUUUGCUUAACAGUGACAUUGAAUAGGUGUUUCACCUCAUCAAGAUACUUGGCAACGAUCACUAUGGCUACAUCAUCAGCAUACGCAACAAGUUUAGCCCUUCUUGGUAUAUCGAUUCUCAGCAAUCCGUCAUACAUGAUAUUCCACAAAAGCAGACCAAGAACAGAACCCUGAGGCACUCCUCCUGUAAUAUCAUACUCCUUUUGACCAUUCUUCUUGUCAUAUUUCAGGACUCUAUCCAUGAAGUAGCUUGCUAUCCUACGCAGGUACCCUGACACGUUCAUUCUUUCGAGGGCCUGCUUAAUGCAGUCCCAGUUGGCGGAGUUGAAGGCGUUUCUGGUGUCUAGUGUAGCCACUAGACAGUAUUCCUUCGUACAAUUCUUCCAUCUAUCCCCUGCGAUGGCAUCCCUGGCUGUGCUGACGACAAGGUUGACGGCAUCUAGCGUUGACCGCCCAUUCCGAAAACCAUACUGGUUGUCAGUAAGUAGCGGUUCGACUACUGCCUCUAUUCGUUGGUGGAUUAUGCGUUAAAGUAUCUUACCUGCCGUAUCUAGCAUGCAGAGUGGACGGUAAGAUGAUGGUCCGUCCGGUGGCUUCUUCCGUUUAGGGAGAAGUACAAAUCUUUGCUGCUUCCAUCUGCUAGGAAAGUUACGCUUUGAUAGCGGUUUUUAAUGCAAUAUUUGGGAUUCCAUCGAAUCCCGGAGCCUUGCUAUUCCCUACGUGAUUGCAUGCCUCCAUCAAUUCAUCCUGCGCGAUAGGCGGGAUGUUUUCAGGGUUGAGCUGCUCUGACUGGUAGGUGAAUACCGGCUAUCGAGGAAACAGCGCAGUGACAAUCCUCCUCAGGAGCUGUGGACACGUAGGUGAAGGCAUUUUCUGGCAUUUCAGGUGGUUCACGACCACCUUGUAUCCUGCCCUUGGAUCCUUCUCUACUCCCUCGACGGGUUCCUUCCAACAGCGUCUAUUGCUAUCCUUGAUUGCUUUAUUCGAUUCCCGGUAAGCAUUUUUGUACUCUGCCACCAGCUCUGCAUAGUUUGGUCGCCGGAAGCUAUGCUGUGAUAAUCUUCUUUGUCUAAGACACUCUUUACGAAGGGCACCAAUGUAAUCAUUUCACCAGUGCACUGAGGGUCUUCGAUUCAUGCCAUGUUUCCGGGGCAUACAAGCAUCGCAUGCCUGAGUUACUCUUCAUUAGCUUCUUUGCUCGCUCUUCAGCACUUCCUGUGAUAGUCCAGUCGGUACUAAGGCUACAACCAAAGUAGCUUGGUCAAAGGGUUUCACCCUCCAUCCAACUGCGUUGGUUUGUCACGUUGCUCUUCGGGGGUUCUGGCUAGUCGAUACUUCCCAGAGGAUUGCGUUAUGGUUGCUGGCAGUAUAGGUGUUCAUAACUAUCCAAGGAAAACUUCCUCUGGCUAGAGAGACUUCCUCGAAAGAGAGACUUGGCGGAGCAUCGCAACUGUAGAAACGAAUACCGUCUACCCAUGCUGCUAUAAAUUCCGGUUUCUCUAUUGUUGACUGCGCUCUAGAAUGGUGUUUUUCCACAGAACCAAAUGACAGCUCUGGUGGUGCUGUCCUAUUCUCAAGGUUGGUUACUCAGCUGUCUGUAUGGCUCUGAUAUCAGAACGUAGUCUAGUUCUAAUUCUCACACGGUCUGCAUGGGCAGAUCAUGUGAAGCCUCGCAGUGGUUGAGGUUGAGCUAUAUUAUCUUCAUGUUCGUUUAUUUGUCAGCUUCUCUAGUGCCUUAUUGAAUACCGAGCACCUAUAAUUGCUGGCAUGGUGGCCAGCGUUCUCUGCGCUUCGGUUCUCCGCGCAUAAUACACUUUUAGAUGGAUGUUCACAAUCCGCAAUCUUAUGUCCCUCUUGUACGCACUUGAUGCACAGGCUAGAUCAAUCUACCUUACUUCUGAACUGGGAUCCAAGAUGCCCAAAGUGCCAGCAUUUGAAGCAUUAAGUUGGUCUAGCUGUUGCCCUUAUUCAGCAAUUGACCCAACCAAUCCGGACUUUGCUACUUCCGUCCAGUAAUUUUCGCGCUACGGACGCUGCUAACGGACGCUGACCGUAGCAGCCUGAUUAUCUCUAAAGGCUUGACGGAUCUUGAUUGCCUCCUGUAGUGUCUCACACACAUCUCCGGCUUUCUUUUUCCAAGGCCGCGCGCGCGCGUGUGUGUGUGUUUGCGCGCGCGUAUCCUGGUGUAUUGGACUUACAAAAUAUUACUUUUUUCUUUUCUUUUUUCUGAUUGUAAGUAAUAUUUUGAAGUUUAUUUGAAUCGCCAAAGUUAAAAUGACUAUAGGUUUUGUUAAUUACAUGUUUUGUAUUAGUUGCACUUAUAAGAAGUGUGCAGAAGUGCCAACUAGACAUUCGGUCAAAAUGACCAUUGUAUUUAGUGCUUAAUAUUUGUUCCUUACUUUUGACUAAAUAAAUACUAAUUUACUUUUAGAGAGCUACAGCUAGUUUCCUUUAAGUUUAGUGAGUGUAAUAUUUUGUUUUUGUUUAUUGUAUAAAUAAAGCACUUUUCUGUCUUU